AUGCCACCAGUGGAGGCCGCGAUCGAUUUCGGAAGGUCAUGGCCGAUUACGCAGCUCCAGAACGAACUCGAUGGAGGUGAUUCUGGGCAACACAAUAUCGAUUGCAAGAAAAUUCUGAUGCUGACGUCUGAGUUGCACCCCAGUUACAAUUAUCAUGAAUGUUAUGACCUGAUUGAAUGUGAGAAACUAAUGAGGGGCGUACGAUUAUGCUGCUUGUUAAUUCGUAGAUAUCAUAGAGGCAGAAAAGAAUUUAAACUUAGCAACGUACUCAGAAGCUUGCUUAGCCGAAGGCGGAAAAGUGCGACAAACAACAACUUCACUAAGGGCUAUCACUACAGCACUAUUGAAGUACUAGUACCAGAGUAA